UGCCAGCAGCCGCGGUAAUACGAAGGGUGCUAGCGUUGUUCGGAAUAACUGGGCGUAAAGCGGACGCAGGCGGCUAAGUCAGUCUGAAGUGAAAUCCCGGGGCUCAACCCCGGAACUGCCUCCAAAACUAUCAGUCUAGAGUUCGAGAGAGGUGAGUGGAACUCCGAGUGUAGAGGUGAAAUUCGUAGAUAUUCGGAAGAACACCAGUGGCGAAGGCGGCUAACUGGACUGAUACUGACGCUGAGGUGCGAAAGUGUGGGGAGCAAACAGGAUUAGAUA
rnacentral:rRNA from 1 species